rnacentral:pre_miRNA from 1 species
UUUUUAGUGUAAAUAUGUCCUGAGCAGUAUUCGGGACAUACUUAUGCUAAAA